AACGAACGCUGGCGGCAGGCUUAACACAUGCAAGUCGAACGCAUGCCUUCGGGCAUGAGUGGCAGACGGGUGAGUAACGCGUGGGAACCUACCCCUUGGUACGGGAUAGCUCCGGGAAACUGGAGAUAAUACCGUAUGUGUCCUGAGGGACAAAGAUUCAUCGCCAAGGGAUGGGCCCGCGUCGGAUUAGCUAGUUGGUGGGGUAACGGCCUACCAAGGCGACGAUCCGUAGCUGGUCUAAGAGGAUGAUCAGCCACAUUGGGACUGAGACACGGCCCAAACUCCUACGGAAGGCAGCAGUGGGGAAUAUUGGACAAUGGGCGCAAGCCUGAUCCAGCCAUGCCGCGUGAGUGAUGAAGGCCCUAGGGUUGUAAAGCUCUUUCACCGGUGACGAUAAUGACGGUAACCGGAGAAGAAGCCCCGGCUAACUUCGUG
rnacentral:rRNA from 1 species